rnacentral:rRNA from 1 species
GACGAACGCUGGCGGCAGGCCUAACACAUGCAAGUCGAACGAGUGGCGGACGGGUGAGUAAUGUCUGGGAAACUGCCUGAUGGAGGGGGAUAACUACUGGAAACGGUAGCUAAUACCGCAUACCAUCAGAUGUACCCAGAUGGGAUUAGCUAGUUGGUGGGGUAAAGGCUCACCAAGGCGACGAUCCCUAGCUGGUCUGAGAGGAUGACCAGCCACACUGGAACUGAGACACGGUCCAGACUCCUACGGGAGGCAGCAGUGGGGAAUAUUGCACAAUGGGCGCAAGCCUGAUGCAGCCAUGCCGCGUGUAUGAAGAAGGCCUUAGGGUUGUAAAGUACUUUCAGCGGGGAGGCGUUACCCGCAGAAGAAGCACCGGCUAACUCCGUGCCAGCAGCCGCGGUAAUUC